rnacentral:rRNA from 1 species
GACGAACGCUGGCGGCGUGCUUAAUACAUGCAAGUCAACGACUUUUAGAGUAGCAAUAUUUUAAAGGAAGUGGCGCACGGGUGAGUAACACGUAGGUAAUCUGCCUUCAGGACUGACACAACUCGUCGAAAGACGGGCUAAUAUCAGAUAAUGCAGCGGCUCCGCAUGGAGACAGUUGUUAAAGUACAAGCGCCUGAAGAUGAGCCUGCGGUCCAUUAGCUAGUUGGUAGAGUAACAGCCUACCAAGGCAACGAUGGAUAGCUGGUCUGAGAGGAUGAUCAGCCACACUGGAACUGAGACACGGUCCAGACUCCUACGGGAGGCAGCAGUAAGGAAUAUUGCUCAAUGGCCGAAAGGCUGAAGCAGCAACGCCGCGUGAAGGAUGAAUGGCUUUGGCCUGUAAACUUCUGUAAAAGGGAAAACAGUACAGGUAUAUCCUGAUUGAUUGUACC